rnacentral:rRNA from 1 species
AUCAACGCUGGCGGGCGUGCCCUAACACAUGCAAGUCGAACGAGAGAAAGCGGGGGCAACCCCGUGAGUACAGUGGCGCACGGGGUGAGUAACACGUGACUAACCUGCCCUUAUAGUGGGGGAUAACCUCGGGAAACCGGGGCUAAUACCGCAUAACCUCGCGAGGUGAAAUUCCUCUCGAGCAAAGGGAGCAAUUCGCUUUUGGAGGGGGUAGGGGUCGCGGCUGAUUAGCUAGUUGGUGGGGGUAAUGGCCCACCAAGGCUGUGAUCAGUAUCCGGCCUGAGAGGGCGCACGGACACACUGGAACUGAAACACGGUCCAGACUCCUACGGGAGGGCAGCAGUGGGGGAAUUUUGCGCAAUGGGGAGGAAACCCCUGACGCAGCAACGCCGCGUGGGAGGAUGAAGGUCUUUGGAUUGUAAACUCCUUUCGACCGGGACGAUAAUGACGGUACCGGUAAGAAGAAAGCACCGGCUAACUCUGUGCCAGCAGCCGCGGUAAUACAGAGGGUGCAAGCGUUGUGUCGGAAUUAUUGGGGCGUGUAAAGGGCGCGUAGGCGGUGCGGGGUAAGUCACCUGUGAAAUCUCUGGGCUCAACUCAGAGUCUGCAGGCGAAAACUGCCGUGCUUGAGUACUGGAGAGGUGAGUGGAAUUCCCGGUGUAGCCGGUGAUGAAAUGCGGUAGAUAUCGGGAGGAACACCUGUGGGCGAAAGCGGCUCACUGGACAGUAACUGACGCUGAUGCGCGAAAGCUAGGGGAGCAAACAGGAUUAGAUACCCUGGUAGUCCUAGCCCUAACGAUGAACACUUGGUGUUAGGCGGGUACCCAAUCCCGCCGUGCCGGAGCUAACGCGUUAAGUGUUCCGCCUGGGGGAAGUACGGGUCGCAAGGCUGAAACUCAAAGGAAUUGGACGGGGGGCCCACGCACAAGCGGUGGAGCAUGUGGUUCAAUUCGACGCAACGCGAAGAACCUUACCUAGGCUCGAAGCGCAGUGGAAUCCGGUGGAAAGCAUCGGCGCCCGCAAGGGCCUGCUGCGUAGGUGCUGCAUGGCUGUUGUCAGCUGUCGUGUCGUGAGAUGUUGGGUUAAGUCCCGCAACGAGCGCAACCCCUUAUCGUUAGUUGCUAACAGGUUAAGCUGAGCACUCUAGCGAAACUGCCCCGGACACGGGGAGGAAGGUGGGGGAUGACGUCAAGUCCUCAUGGCCUUUAUGUCUAGGGCUACCCACGUGCUACAAUGGGUGAUACAAACCGUCGCAAACCCGUGAGGGGGAGCUAAUCGGAAAAAGUCAUCCUCAGUUCGGAUUGGAGUCUGCAACUCGACUCCAUGAAGCUGGAAUCGCUAGUAAUCGCGGAUCAGCACGCCGCGGUGAAUACGUUCCCGGGCCUUGUACACACCGCCCGUCACAUCACGAAAGUGGGUGGUACUAGAAGUCGGUGCGCUAACCCGCAAGGGAGGCAGCCGCCCAAGGUAUUACUCAUGAUUGGGGUG